UUGUGCUUGCACAGAUGACGACCGGCGCACGGGUGCGUAACGCGUAUAGAACCUACCUUUUACAGAGGAAUAGCCUUUAGAAAUGAAGAUUAAUACCUCAUGGUAUUGUAGACUGGCAUCAGUUUAUAAUUAAAGAUUUAUCGGUAAAAGAUGGCUAUGCGUCCUAUUAGUUAGUUGGUAAGGUAACGGCUUACCAAGACAGCGAUAGGUAGGGGUCCUGAGAGGGAGAUCCCCCACACUGGUACUGAGACACGGACCAGACUCCUACGGGAGGCAGCAGUGAGGAAUAUUGGACAAUGGAGGAGACUCUGAUCCAGCCAUGCCGCGUGUAGGAAGAAUGCCCUAUGGGUUGUAAACUACUUUUAUACAGGAAGAAACACUGGUAUGUAUACCAGCUUGACGGUACUGUAAGAAUAGGGACCGGCUAACUCCGUGCCAGCAGCCGCGGUAAUACGGAGGGUCCGAGCGUUAUCCGGAAUCAUUGGGUUUAAAGGGUCCGCAGGCGGUCGAUUAAGUCA
rnacentral:rRNA from 1 species